GCAGAGUACUUGGGGGGUGUUCGUCUCACCAUUUCGUUUGACUGUGCUCCUUGACUAUAUGUGUUAUUUCGUAUUUUAUGUCAAC